ACCUAAAGAAUGAGAUCCCUUAAUUGAAGAACCCAACGCAACUUUCCCCUUUUCCCUUUUUCUUCUCACUCCCCCUUCAUCUCCCUUAAAAACCAGAGAAAACGGCAACACCAUGGUUCCCCUUUUCUUCUUCUCCAUUCCUCAUCUUCAACAGACAUACAUGCCCUCAUGAUCUGAUUUUUGCAUAUAAUUUUAGAGAACAACUAAAAUCGGCGAAAUCGAAAAAAAAGAAUUUGAAAGCUAUGGUUAAACUUCUACUCACUUGCUCUAUUUUUUUGAAAAUUCAAGUGUAAACAAAUUUGGGAAAGAGUUUAUGAAGCUAGGAGUAGGGGCUGAUUUCGUCGAUGAUUUCACUGCUGUCCAUGUAGCUGAUUUCCAACAUAGCAUCGGUUCUUUCAGCCUUUGUCCUGGCAUUUUUUCGAUUCUUAUUUGUGUUUCAGCAUGGCCGUUGCUUAGUCAGUAGUGAAGCAGUUGAUAUAAAGGAUCUUGACGCAGGACAAUUCUUUGAACUCUGCUCCGGAAUAUGUGAUUUUUUAACAGCUGAAUGAAAAGACAAUUCUGUGAUAGUUUUGCCCUUAACUAUUUCCAUGACUGCAAUUAUGUGCUUGGACUUGAUGAAAAGACAUUUCUGUUAAAAGAAAACAUCUGAGUUGUAUUUUCAUGUUAUUGUUUUGUUGGCCUUGGAUUGCUGCAAUCUACAUAUUCCAAUUUUGAUGUUUAUUGAAUCUCAAGAGGUGUAACUCAGAUUUUCAAACUGACCCUUCAUCGGAAGAUCACUCAUAUGUCAUAGCAUGUAGGCGCCUGUAUGGGUGCUUCACUAAUGUUUAGAUGAGUUCUGUAGUUUCACAUUUAUUCCAUUCACUUAUUAGGACAUGACUUGCUAGUAAGUGAGCCUCAACUGUGAGGGAGGAGGCAAGAAGUAUGCUUUGGUGGAUUAGGGUUUUCAAUUCCUAUUCAUGUGCAAUUACCUGACACUUGGAUAAUGCUAUUAGUGUAUUUCAAACUUCUUAUUUGAUUUGUCAUACUUAGUGGGUUACCUUUAAUUAUUUAUUUUUCUUGUUUUUUUAAAUAUGUUUAACAACUGGACCUCAUAUUUGUGUUAGUAUGGGAAUUUGGGUAUAUAAGUACUAACUUGAAAGUUGAGUUUUAAUGGUAUUUCAAUUGCUAGAAA